rnacentral:lncRNA from 1 species
GAACUAGGCUACUAUAUUAUUAAUAGCACCAAGUCAUUGGUGCUACCAAGUUUUUGGCCAUUGGAUUAAGUGAUGUGCGGUUAGGAUGAUGUGGGCCCCCUAGGGUUGAGUGGGUGGUUGGUUGAAUAGUAUAAUCUAACGGGUAAAAAUAAUCAAAGUGAUUAAUCUAACGGCAGAAAACUUGAUAGCACCAACUACUUGGUGCUAUCGAUAGCAUAGCAGCCGGACUCUAAAU